UAUAUACACUUUCUCCAGGGAAAUGUUAUCUUACCUACCUGGUUUUUGUGAAGAAACAUACACAAAUUAGUUUUUGAAACUGUGCCUUUAAUGCAUUUAAAGUAGUAAACAAGAUUCAUACAGAUGAAGUACAAAAUAACUGAGUAGAAAAAUGUAUCCAUAAAACUGAAGAAAAUUAUUUUGGCUUAGAGAUUAGAAGUAAAAAAUCCCAGAUUCUCUAUGCCAAUGCUGAGAAUAUUACAGUCUUUGAACUUGCAUUAAGACGGAUUUUUGUGGCCAGUCUCAUUACUGGACAAAUUCCACCCUUAGUCAUUGUCAUCGUUAUUUUAUUUCACAGAAAAAAAAAGAUACCUCAGUUUCAGUACAUGUAUAAUAAAGAGACCUUGUCCCACACCUACACACACUACAAGACACAGUUUGAAUAGGAACUGAUUGAUGAAAAGGACUGUAAAAAGAAAGAACGUUAUCUCUCACACACUCUCUUUCUCCACUGAACAUUUGAUAAUAAUGUUUGUAGGCAUGUACCCCGAUCUACAAAAGUUGAGUGUCUAUCCUGUCCUCAGUGUUUUCCAAAGGAAUCCUAGGGCACACUACUUCUGCAUUCUAAAGGUUAUGUUAGUUAGCUCCCUAGGGAGAAAUUAGGUAGGACUCUCUUACAGCCUUGUUACAAUUGCUAGAUGGUAGGAUCUUGUUAGAUUACAUUUCCCACCACCCAGUAGUUUUCAAAGUCCUUUAGCACAAAAAACAUAUAAAACCUGUGUCCUCAGAGCAGACUAUGGUUCUCAGACCAGUUUGUUUAACCGAAUCAAAAUAUACUUCAGCACUAACUUCACUGCUCUUACAGUGCAAAAACUCUCCAGGGCUCUAUUAAAUAGUUAAAAAUGUCAGCAUGCCAUAACCAAUUAGAUGGUCUUGUUGGACACUGUAAGCAAAUGUAACUGCAGGGAAUUCAGACAAAAGGUACAGUCCAGGUCCAGACCACAGACAGCAGCCAAUGUUCCUCUUGGAAAUCCUAUGAGCAUCACUGGGUUUUUUAACUCAGCAGUGGUUGCAUGGCCAGCAGUCAGAUCUGCAGCACCUUGGGAAUGGGUGAAGGAAAGUUGCAACCUUCUAUUCCACAAAAUGUUGUCUUGAAAUCUCUGAAAUGUGCUGAUAGCUAAAAAACACAGCUAAACAUGCUCAGAGAAUCCAGGGGAAAUGCAGUAAUAGCAGCAGAAACAUUGUAGUGCAGAAAGGAUUUGUGAUGUACUCUUUUUACUUUUCUCUUCUUCAGGAUUAAAGACCACAACUUCAUUGUCAGAGGUGGACCUCACAGUUCAGGGUGGAAAAAGUAAUGAGCAUCAAAUGUAGUUUACUGGAUGCACCUUUCAGAAAACAAAUUGCAUACUGCAGCUCCUUAAAACUUCCAGCUAUACAUUACUGAGUAUACUUCAUUGCUGUGAAGACAACCUGAUACGUGUUACACAAACAUAACUGAAGACUCUGUCUCAGAUUCCAAGAGCUGGAAACAAGACAUGGAGAAAACUACUUCUAUUUCUGCUUGUCCAUACAACAGAAAAUAAUUGCAGAAGAAAUCUGACUGAGGAUCUGUGAGCCAUUAGAGGCCUUAAAUAUCUUGAUGCAAUAUCUAGGUUUGGUAUAAAAUUUGUAUUUUGCACCAUUCUCAUAAAAGGAUGUAUAAGUUUGA